GACGAACCGUCCAGACGUUAUUCGGAAUCACUGGGCUUAAAGGGUGCGUAGGCGGCGCGGAAAGUUGGGUGUGAAAUCCCUCGGCUCAACCGAGGAACUGCGCCCAAAACUACCGUGCUCGAGGGAGAUAGAGGUGAGCGGAACUUAGGGUGGAGCGGUGAAAUGCGUUGAUAUCCUAAGGAACACCGGUGGCGAAAGCGGCUCACUGGAUCUCUUCUGACGCUGAGGCACGAAAGCUAGGGUAGCGAACGGG
rnacentral:rRNA from 1 species